rnacentral:rRNA from 1 species
GACAGAGGUGCCAAGCGUUAGGCGGAAUCACUGGGCUUAAAGCGUGUGUAGGCGGAAUGGUAAGUACCUUGUGAAAUCCCACGGCUCAACCGUGGAACUGCUGGGUAUACUGCUUUUCUUGAGCCACUUAGGGGCUGUCGGAACAAACGGUGGAGCGGUGAAAUGCGUAGAUAUCAGGAGGAACACCAAUAGCGAAGGCACUCUACUGGGCCAUUACUGACACUAAGAGACGAAAGCUAGGGGGAGCAAAUGGG